rnacentral:tRNA from 1 species
UCCCUGGUGGCUCAGACGGUAAAGAAUCUGCCUGAAAUUCAGGAGACCUGGGUUCAAUCCCUGGUUUGGGAA